AGGUAGCUGAACAGCCUUAUAUCCCAAGGUGGAGAAGAAUGGGCAAAAGCUGGAUUGCAAUUACAACAUCAGGAGUCUCCGGUGGCCUAGGGGAUAAAAGCCUUGUGACUUGAAUGUUGGGUUGCUGACCUGAAGGCUGCCAGGUUCGAAUCCCACCUGGGAGAGCGCGGAUGAACUCCCUCUAUCAGCUCCAGCUCCAUGCGGGGACAUGAGAGAAGCCUUAAUAAAAACAUCAAAACAUCUGGACAUCCCCUGGGCAACAUCCUUGCAGACAGCCAAUUUUCUCACACCAGAAGCGACUUGCACUUUCUCAAAUCGCUCCUGACACACACAAAAAUCAUACUUACUGUUAUUCAUUAUAAGUAUCAAGCUAUUAGAAACAUACGAGCUCUCCAAACCUACCUUUGAUUAAUUUUGAAAUAACUCACAUUUUCUGGAUGGGAAACAGAUGACUGGAAAGUGAGACUCCCUUUCCAUGUCACUAUGCCUUACUGUUAAAUAGUAUGAACAUGUGAGGAAGCUUGAAUAGUAUAUGCAUAUGUGAUUAAAGUGUAUUCAAAUAAGACUACUAAGGUUUAUGCCAUAGGUUUUGAAUCAUUGUUUAAUUUGUAUGUUUGUAUUCAUACAGAUCAUGCAGCAGAUAUCGACUUCCAGGGUGAAUUCCUACAGACUAGUCAUUCAUAAUUUUGUGUAAAACCAGUUUCUAUUCUAACAAAAAUUAUCACAAUUGAAUCGAACUGAAUACUUCCAAUCAUAAUUACAACAGUGGCUGAAUUAAAGCCUGUCUUCCUUAGAAAUGCUGUCCAACUUGCCACAAGUUCCAGCCUCGUAUUCUGUGGAUCACUACUAACUGGUAUUAACAAAUUGUCACACACAAGGUCAGUUUUACAUUAUGCAAAUUAAGUAUAGGAUUAUAAGAGCAGAAGGGUGAAUUAUCUGGAGUAAAGUGCUUUAUCAACUUUCAUUUCACUCUGUGCCUGUAAUAUGCAUGCGAGGUCUACUUUUAAAACAUAUUUUUGCAGCAGAAUUACUAAGAGUGCAUGUGCCUCAGAUGCAAUACUCAGAACAAGAGACAUUCCUUUGAAACACUGCUGUGUGGUUGUGUUUCAGCCAUAUCUUUGGUUAUGAU
rnacentral:lncRNA from 1 species